GACGAACGCUGGCGGCGUGCCUAAUACAUGCAAGUAGAACGCACAGUUUAUACCGUAGCUUGCUACACUACAGACUGUGAGUUGCGAACGGGUGAGUAACGCGUAGAUAACCUGCCUGGUAGCGGGGGAUAACUAUUUGAAACGAUAGCUAAUACCGCAUAAUAUUAAUUAUUGCAUGAUAAUUAAUUGAAAGUUGCAAUUGCACAACUACCAGAUGGACCUGCGUUGUAUUAGCUAGUAGGUGUGGUAACGGCUCACCUAGGCGACGAUACAUAGCCGACCUGAGAGGGUGAUCGGCCACGCUGGGACUGGGACACGGCCCAGACUCCUGCGACAGGCAGCAGUAGGGAAUCUUCAGCAAUGGACGAAAGUCUGACCGAGCAACACCGCGUGAGUGAAGAAUGUAUUCAGAUCGUAAAACUCUGUUAUAAGAGAAGAACGGAUGUGAGAGUGGAAAGUUCACACUGUGACAGUAUCUGACCAGAAAGGGACGACUAACUACGUG
rnacentral:rRNA from 1 species